rnacentral:rRNA from 1 species
UACGUAGGGGGCAAGCGUUGUCCGGAAUUAUUGGGCGUAAAGAGCGUGUAGGCGGCCAGAUAAGUCCGCUGUGAAAUCUCGAGGCUCAACUUCGAGCUGUCGGUGGAAACUGUCUGGCUAGAGUCCGGAAGAGGAGAGUGGAAUUCCUGGUGUAGCGGUGAAAUGCGCAGAUAUCAGGAAGAACACCCGUGGCGAAAGCGGCUCUCUGGAACGGUACUGACGCUGAGACGCGAAAGCGUGGGGAGCAAACAGG